rnacentral:rRNA from 1 species
GACGAACGCUGGCGGCGUGCUUAACACAUGCAAGUCGAACGGAGCGAAUGAAAGCUUGCUUUUAUGAGCUUAGUGGCAAACGGGUGAGUAACACGUAGACAACCUGCCGACAGGAUGGGGACAACAUUCCGAAAGGAAUGCUAAUACCGAAUGAAGCGGAGGAGAGGCAUCUCUCCUCCGUGAAAGAUGGCCUCUAUUUAUAAGCUAUCACCUGUCGAUGGGUCUGCAUCUGAUUAGCUGGUUGGUGAGGUAACGGCUCACCAAGGCGACGAUCAGUAGCCGGUCUGAGAGGAUGAACGGCCACAUUGGGACUGAGACACGGCCCAGACUCCUACGGGAGGCAGCAGUGGGGAAUCUUCCGCAAUGGGCGCAAGCCUGACGGAGCAACGCCGCGUGAGUGAAGAAGGUCUUCGGAUCGUAAAGCUCUGUUGACGGGGACGAACGUGCGAGAGGUGAAUAAUCUCUUGCAAUGACG